rnacentral:rRNA from 1 species
GAUGAACGCUGGCGGCGUGCCUAACACAUGCAAGUCGAACGCUCGCAAGAGAGUGGCGCACGGGUGAGUAAUACGUAGCUAAUCUGCCCUCAAGACAAGGAUAACUGUAGGAAACUACUGCUAAUACUUGAUAAGCUUACGGACUGUAGAGGUCUAUAAGAAAAGAUUUAUCGCUUGAGGAUGAGGCUGCGCGCCAUCAGCUAGUUGGUGAGGUAAUGGCUUACCAAGGCGACGACGGCUAGGGGACCUGAGAGGGUGACCCCCCACACUGGGACUGAGACACGGCCCAGACUCCUACGGGAGGCAGCAGUGAGGAAUUUUGGACAAUGGGCGCAAGCCUGAUCCAGCCAUGCCGCGU